rnacentral:rRNA from 1 species
UACGUAGGGUGCGAGCGUUGUCCGGAAUUAUUGGGCGUAAAGAGCUCGUAGGCGGUGUGUCACGUCGUUCGUGAAAACCUGCAGCUUAACUGUGGGCGUGCGGUCGAUACGGGCAGACUAGAGGUAGGUAGGGGAGAAUGGAAUUCCCGGUGUAGCGGUGAAAUGCGCAGAUAUCGGGAGGAACACCGGUGGCGAAGGCGGUUCUCUGGGCCUUACCUGACGCUGAGGAGCGAAAGCGUGGGGAGCGAACAGG